rnacentral:lncRNA from 1 species
UCUAUACACACCCAGAAAUGCCCACAUCUGUUCUAUAACACAACACAUAUAUACCAUCCAUCCUGUUAUUAACACCAACCAUAAUAUACCAUCCAUCCUGUUAUAAACACCACCCAUAUUAACCAUCUCUCCUUUUAAAUUAAUACACCAUCCAUCCUUUAUUAAACAACCCAUAUGCACCCUCCAUCCUGUUAUAUACACAAUCCAUAAUUGCACACAAUCCAUUCUCUGUGUAUAAUACCCCAUCAUCCUGUUAUAUAACACAACCAUAAUGCACCAUCCAUCCUGUUAUAUAAAACACAAUCCAUAUACACCAUCCAUCCUGUUAUAUAAACCAACCAUAUGCACCAUCAUCUGUUAUAUUACACAAUCCAUAAUGCCACCUCCAUCCUGUUGUAUAAUACACCAAUCCAUCCUGUUAUAUAACACAACCCAUAAUGCACCAUCCAUCCUGUUAUAUAACACAAUCCAUAAUAUACCACCAUCCUGUUAUACAACACAACCCAUAAAUGAGACCGGUUCUCAGCCUCUUGAUGGUUUGUUCACGGUGCUUUCUGUUUUCAUUCAGACCAGAGGCUUCAACGGCAGCAGAAGACAAGAAGAAACUCCAAGAGAAGAAGAAGAAAGAAGUCCAAGAAAGCGAGGAGGAGGCGAUGGACGUAAAGGAAGAGGAGGCGACCGUCUCUCCCACAGAGGAAGUACGUAGCUGAUGGGGACAUGCCUCCAGAAUAAAUAUAUUCCUGCCUGAACGAACAUACUAAUCUGUUUUCUUGUGACUUCAGUCGUCAAAGAAGAAGAAAAAACAAAGAAGCAGAAAAGGUCAGGAGGAGGAAGAGGGGAGAUUAAUCUGGUUGGGGAGAAGAACUGUAUUAAUUAGGACUUUUAGUUGUUCUUGUAUCUACCAGGACCCGACUGACUCGUAUCAGCCUGACCUUUUAUAAGUUAGACUAGAGAACUGGAGACGGGGUUAUUUCAGAAUAUGACCAGCAGCUGAUCUGUUGAUGAGA